GCAGGUUGAAGGUUGGGUAACACUAACUGGAGGACCGAACCGACUAAUGUUGAAAAAUUAGCGGAUGACCUGUGGCUGGGGGUGAAAGGCCAAUCAAACCGGGAGAUAGCUGGUUCUCCCCGAAAGCUAUUUAGGUAGCGCCUCGUGAACUCAUCUCCGGGGGUAGAGCACUGUUUCGGCUAGGGGGCCAUCCCGGCUUACCAACCCGAUGCAAACUGCGAAUACCGGAGAAUGUUAUCACGGGAGACACACGGCGGGUGCUAACGUCCGUCGUGAAGAGGGAAACAACCCAGACCGCCAGCUAAGGUCCCAAAGUCAUGGUUAAGUGGGAAACGAUGUGGGAAGGCCCAGACAGCCAGGAUGUUGGCUUAGAAGCAGCCAUCAUUUAAAGAAAGCGUAAUAGCUCACUGGUCGAGUCGGCCUGCGCGGAAGAUGUAACGGGGCUAAACCAUGCACCGAAGCUGCGGCAGCGACACUAUGUGUUGUUGGGUAGGGGAGCGUUCUGUAAGCCGUUGAAGGUGUGCUGUGAGGCAUGCUGGAGGUAUCAGAAGUGCGAAUGCUGACAUAAGUAACGAUAAAGCGGGUGAAAAGCCCGCUCGCCGGAAGACCAAGGGUUCCUGUCCAACGUUAAUCGGGGCAGGGUGAGUCGACCCCUAAGGCGAGGCCGAAAGGCGUAGUCGAUGGGAAACAGGUUAAUAUUCCUGUACUUGGUGUUACUGCGAAGGGGGGACGGAGAAGGCUAUGUCGGCCGGGCGACGGUUGUCCCGGUUUAAGCGUGUAGGUGUGUGCUCCAGGCAAAUCCGGUGCACUUUAACACUGAGGCGUGAUGACGAGGCACUACGGUGCUGAAGUGACAAAUGCCCUGCUUCCAGGAAAAGCCUCUAAGCAUCAGGUAACACGAAAUCGUACCCCAAACCGACACAGGUGGUCAGGUAGAGAAUACCAAGGCGCUUGAGAGAACUCGGGUGAAGGAACUAGGCAAAAUGGUGCCGUAACUUCGGGAGAAGGCACGCUGAUAUGUAGGUGAAGUGGUUUACCCAUGGAGCUGAAAUCAGUCGAAGAUACCAGCUGGCUGCAACUGUUUAUUAAAAACACAGCACUGUGCAAACACGAAAGUGGACGUAUACGGUGUGACGCCUGCCCGGUGCCGGAAGGUUAAUUGAUGGGGUUAUCCUCGCGGAGAAGCUCUUGAUCGAAGCCCCGGUAAACGGCGGCCGUAACUAUAACGGUCCUAAGGUAGCGAAAUUCCUUGUCGGGUAAGUUCCGACCUGCACGAAUGGCGUAAUGAUGGCCAGGCUGUCUCCACCCGAGACUCAGUGAAAUUGAACUCGCUGUGAAGAUGCAGUGUACCCGCGGCAAGACGGAAAGACCCCGUGAACCUUUACUAUAGCUUGACACUGAACACUGGUCCUUGAUGUGUAGGAUAGGUGGGAGGCUUUGAAGUGUGGACGCCAGUCUGCAUGGAGCCGCCCUUGAAAUACCACCCUUUAAUGGCUGGUGUUCUAACGUGGGCCCGUAAUCCGGGUUGCGGACAGUGUCUGGUGGGUAGUUUGACUGGGGCGGUCUCCUCCUAAAGAGUAACGGAGGAGCACGAAGGUCAGCUAAUCCUGGUCGGACAUCAGGAGGUUAGUGCAAUGGCAUAAGCUGGCUUGACUGCGAGCGUGACGGCGCGAGCAGGUGCGAAAGCAGGUCAUAGUGAUCCGGUGGUUCUGAAUGGAAGGGCCAUCGCUCAACGGAUAAAAGGUACUCCGGGGAUAACAGGCUGAUACCGCCCAAGAGUUCAUAUCGACGGCGGUGUUUGGCACCUCGAUGUCGGCUCAUCACAUCCUGGGGCUGAAGUAGGUCCCAAGGGUAUGGCUGUUCGCCAUUUAAAGUGGUACGCGAGCUGGGUUUAGAACGUCGUGAGACAGUUCGGUCCCUAUCUGCCGUGGGCGCUGGAGAACUGAGGGGGGCUGCUCCUAGUACGAGAGGACCGGAGUGGACGCAUCACUGGUGUUCGGGUUGUCAUGCCAAUGGCACUGCCCGGUAGCUAAAUGCGGAAGAGAUAAGUGCUGAAAGCAUCUAAGCACGAAACUUGCCCCGAGAUGAGUUCUCCCUGACUCCUUGAGAGUCCUGAAGGAACGUUGAAGACGACGACGUUGAUAGGCCGGGUGUGUAAGCGCAGCGAUGCGUUGAGCUAACCGGUACUAAUGAACCGUGAG
rnacentral:rRNA from 1 species